CGCAUUAACCGUGACGUCUCUGCCAUCUAGUGAGCUGGAAGAUGAACUGCUCCUCGACAACGACACCAAAAGUAAUAACAAGUCUAAGAGGAGGACGAAGCCAAAUACGUGGAUGAAGCACUCAGCGAGGUGAUGUCUGUGCUGUGCCUUUAUGGAGCUCUGCACUGCUUGGUAAUUCUGGCAGUGUCGCAGGCAAAAUCCUUAGCAAAAGUUUGAAGCUCUAUGAGACCAGCAGCAGAUGCCAGCAGAUGCGACA